rnacentral:tRNA from 2 species
GCGCCAGUAGCUCAAUUGGUAGAGCAGUGGACUCUUAAUCCAUUGGUUGGGGGUUCGAUUCCUCCCUGGCGCA